AUGGACCCGUUGGCUUUUCUGACAGAUAAGCAGUUACUGCAGUUUUUACGCUGUAAUAGGACAGAGAUGUCGUGCAUGGUGCAACCACACACCUUUCUGAACCAGCUCCGUGACCACCACCUCAUUCCGGAGAACAUGUACAAGAAGCUGAUUUUGAUUAGGAGUAAGGAGCUGAGGGAGAAGGGUGUGUACCAGGUGUUGGACUGGGUGGAGGCAGAGAGGCCCGACAGCAUCAAGGUGUUCUGGAACUGUGUGUUCAGGGACCACCUCCUGCAGCAGUACCCAACGUUACGCCUGCUACGAAACCGCCUGCUGGAUGGGUCAUUCACAUUCUAUGAGAAACUGCCAGAGAAGGUGGAGAAGGAAGAGGAGGAGGAUAAGAAGAAGAAGGCUUCAGCGGAAGGAGAAGAGGAGGAGGAGAAGACAGGAAGGAAAAAGAGGAACCAGAAAAAGAGAAGUGCGAGUGCAGAGGAGGAGCAGCCCAGCACAUCCACCCAGUCCACCCCCAGUCAGAAGAGGAAAGUCCAGAGGCUCAAAUACUGUUCUCCUUUCAGGAAGGGGGAGAAAGCUGACAUCUGGACCUGGCCCAUCUACAAGAGCCAGCUCCCAGUCACCUGUGGGGACAAAGAAGGCAUGCUCAACAGGGACAAGCUGGCCAAAGGUAGGUCAUAACAAGGACUUUUUAUAUGAUGUGUUUGUGUGUAAUGAUGGAUGUGGUUUGGCUGAAUAACCUUGGCUGAGACCUUAAAAGUGGCAAUCUGCAGUUGCUACAUACAUUUUUGGACUUAUACAUUUAUGAUAUGUACCAAUUGAUUCUUAAAGAAUAUAACUUAUUAUUACCUCAUGAGCUUAGUUCAACUGUUUUACCCCAUCAGAAC
rnacentral:lncRNA from 8 species